rnacentral:rRNA from 1 species
UACAGAGGUCUCAAGCGUUGUUCGGAUUCAUUGGGCGUAAAGGGUGUGUAGGUGGCGCCGUUAGUCGGGUGUGAAAUUUCGGAGCUUAACUCCGAAACUGCAUUCGAUACUGCGGUGCUUGAGGACUGGAGAGGAGACUGGAAUUCAUGGUGUAGCAGUGAAAUGCGCAGAUAUCAGGAGGAACACCAGUGGCGAAGGCGCCGCUCUGGGCCGUGACUGACGCUGAAGAGCGAAAGCGUGGGUAGCAAACAGG